UGAAACUGACAGCAACAACAAAUAGCUAUCCGAAUGUGAGAUUCAUCGCAUCAGUGAUCUCUUCAUUGUCACCUAAUUUAAACUCAAAAUAUACCACUCGUGUUUGUUUUACAUUUUGACGUGACAUGUCAAAAGUUAGGCCUGUACGUGACUUUACCCAAAGCGUAGUAGAUGUGUUGCGUGGGGCACAAAAGGGGUGUAUGAAACGGAGAAAGCCGUGAAGUGGUCCAUCGAGCGAGCCUACCACCAACCGCGGCUGACUCAGUCGUGAUGUGAUGAUGCGCUAUUGAAAAGUCGCCCAGUGGACGGAUGAGCCUACCCCGUUAACACUACUCGCUCUCUUCAACACAUAGCUUAACAAUUACAGCAGAAGUGUCACGAUCAUAAACCUAGCCAAAUUACUAUUUAUUUUAGAGUUUCACUUGAAGACGAUCAAGCCCAGCUGGCAUCCUGACGUCAAUUUGACAUCAACAAGUAGUCAAGAUUUUGACCAACAUGUAUGACGUGCAUAAAUAUGCAUAAUUUCAUUAUAUUUUGUAAUGAUUUCCUUGUGGUUGUAAAGAGGCCCAACAAAGGUAUCAAUCUAACAUGUUUUUUCUGGUCCCUACAUCUCAGGUCUAUAUUAUUGACAUUAAAUCAACGUUGAUUUGAUGUCAGGAAAUAAGACGUCAAAUUGAUGUGAAAUUUAUGUCAAAACAACGUCUGUUAAAAUGUCUGAAAAGGUAUAUUAUUAGCCUACUCAUUGUAAAUCGACGCGAGUUUUUCAACAUCCUGACCCACACAGCAGGGUUCCAAAACGGACCCUCUGCGGUGGACUCCGUGCGGAUACACACAUCGAACGCGCCCUUUCCAGUCCUAACGGCUCCUUCAGUUUUCAAAUUUCUCGUUGAUGAAGUGGAAGACGAAACAGCGGCGUCUGAAGGCUGACUGUCAUUCACAAGUGGCUCCAGUCUGGUUUGGUGGUUCUGCCAUCCAAGUAAAGUAAGCUUUACAGUUUUACAUUUGAUUUAUUUGACUUUUGGUCUAAACAUUAAUAAUAAAAAAUAACCAUAUGCCUCUGUAACUGGUGUUACUAGUUCAGGACGAAGUGAAGGUAAAUGUCAACAUGCUUAAAUGCCUUUGUCUGCUGUAAUAAAACCCACCCUCUACCUCAAAAGCUCUCUAAUGAAAUGUACAUUUAUGUACAUUUCUGCGUUACAGGUUAUUCACAAGUGGCUCCAGUCUGGUUUGGGGGUCUACGCUUUCUCAUCCUGUCCUGCCACCCAAGUGAAGUUAUUCACAAGUGGCUCCAGUCUGGUUUGGGGGUCUACGCUUUCUCAUCCUGUCCUGCCACCCAAGUGAAGUUAUUCACAAGUGGCUCCAGUCUGGUUUGGGGGUCUACGCUUUCUCAUCCUGUCCUGCCACCCAUGUGAAGU